AUUGAACGCUGGCGGCAUGCCUUACACAUGCAAGUCGAACGGUAACAGGGAGCUUGCUCCGCUGACGAGUGGCGAACGGGUGAGUAAUGUAUCGGAACGUACCUUUCAGUGGGGGAUAACGUAGCGAAAGUUACGCUAAUACCGCAUAUUCUGUGCGCAGGAAAGCAGGGGAUCGCAAGACCUUGCGCUGAUUGAGCGGCCGAUAUCAGAUUAGCUAGUUGGUGAGGUAAAGGCUCACCAAGGCGACGAUCUGUAGCGGGUCUGAGAGGAUGAUCCGCCACACUGGAACUGAGACACGGGUCCAGGACUCCUACGGGUGGCAG
rnacentral:rRNA from 1 species